GACGAACGCUGGCGGCGUGCUUAACACAUGCAAGUCGAACGGUGAAGCUCCAGCUUGCUGGAGUGGAUCAGUGGCGAACGGGUGAGUAACACGUGAGCAACCUGCCCCAGACUCUGGAAUAAGCGCUGGAAACGGCGUCUAAUACUGGAUACGAGAUCAAGCCGCAUGGUUAUGGUCUGGAAAGUUUUUCGGUUUGGGAUGGGCUCGCGGCCUAUCAGCUUGUUGGUGAGGUAAUGGCUCACCAAGGCGACGACGGGUAGCCGGCCUGAGAGGGCGACCGGCCACACUGGGACUGAGACACGGCCCAGACUCCUACGGGAGGCAGCAGUGGGGAAUAUUGCACAAUGGGCGAAAGCCUGAUGCAGCGACGCCGCGUGAGGGAUGACGGCCUUCGGGUUGUAAACCUCUUUCAGCAGGGAAGAAGCGAAAGUGACGGUACCUGCAGAAGAAGCACCGGCUAACUACGUG
rnacentral:rRNA from 1 species